rnacentral:rRNA from 1 species
CUGCUGGACCGUAACUGACGUUGAUGCUCGAAAGUGUGGGUAUCAAACAGGAUUAGAUACCCUGGUAGUCCACACGGUAAACGAUGGAUACUCGCUGUUGGCGAUACACAGUCAGCGGCCAAGCGAAAGCAUUAAGUAUCCCACCUGGGGAGUACGCCGGCAACGGUGAAACUCAAAGGAAUUGACGGGGGCCCGCACAAGCGGAGGAACAUGUGG